rnacentral:rRNA from 1 species
CACGUAGGGUGCAAGCGUUGUCCGGAUUCAUUGGGCGUAAAGGGCUAGUAGGCGGCUUAGCAAGUCGGGUGUGAAAUUUCCAGGCUUAACCUGGAACCGCCAUCCGAUACUGCUAUGGCUAGAGUCCGGUAGGGGACCACGGAAUACCUGGUGUAGCGGUGAAAUGCGCAGAUAUCAGGUGGAACACCGAUGGCGAAGGCAGUGGUCUGGGCCGGCACUGACGCUGAAUAGCGAAAGCGGUGGUAGCGAACAGG